rnacentral:rRNA from 1 species
CCUACGGGAGGCAGCAGUAGGGAAUCUUUCACAAUGGGCGAAAGCCUGAUGGAGCAACGCCGCGUGCGGGAUGAAGGCCUUCGGGUUGUAAACUGCUUUUAUAAGCGAGAAAUAUGAUGGUAACUUAUGAAUAAGGAUCGGCUAACUACGUGCCAGCAGCCGCGGUCAUACGUAGGAUGCGAGCAUUAUCCGGAGUGACUGGGUGUAAAGAGUGGCGUAGGUGGCAUAAUAAGUAGCGAGUGAAAUCUGGUGGCUCAACCAUUAAGACUAUUAGCUAAACUGUUAAGCUCGAGACCGUUAGGGGUAACUGGAAUUUCUAGUGUAGGAGUGAAAUCCGUAGAUAUUAGAAGGAACACCAGUAGCGUAGGCAGGUUGCUGGGACGGUUCUGACACUAAGGCACGAAAGCGUAGGGAGCAAACGGGAUUAGAUACCCUGGUAGUC